GGUGCUUUAGACUAAUUGGUUAUGACCCCUCCACGGAAUGGAGGAGAUGCGGGUUCGAAUCUUCCCGGCGCCC